rnacentral:rRNA from 1 species
GACGAACGCUGGCGGCGUGCUUAACACAUGCAAGUCGAACGGAAAGGCCCUGCUUUUGUGGGGUGCUCGAGUGGCGAACGGGUGAGUAACACGUGAGUAACCUGCCCUUGACUUUGGGGUAACUUCAGGAAACUGGGGCUAAUACCGGAUAGGAGCUCCUGCUGCAUGGUGGGGGUUGGAAAGUUUCGGCGGUUGGGGAUGGACUCGCGGCUUAUGAGCUUGUUGGUGGGGUAGUGGAUGACCCAGGCUUUGACGGGUAGGCGGCCUGAGAGGGUGAACGGCCACAGUGGGACUGAGAUACGGCCCAGACUCCUACGGGAGGCAGCAGGGGGGAAUAUUGCACAAUGGGCGGAAGCCGGAUGCAGCAACGCCGCGUGCGGGAUGACGGCCUUCGGGUUGUAAACCGCUUUCGCCUGUGACGAAGCGUGAGUGACGGUAAUGGGUAAAGAAGCACCGGCUAACUACGUG